CAGCCGCCGCGGUAACACGUAGGGUGCGAGCGUUGUCCGGAAUUAUUGGGCGUAAAGAGCUUGUAGGCGGUCUGUCGCGUCUGCUGUGAAAACCCGAGGCUCAACCUCGGGCCUGCAGUGGGUACGGGCAGACUAGAGUGCGGUAGGGGAGAACGGAACUCCUGGUGUAGCGGUGGAAUGCGCAGAUAUCAGGAAGAACACCGAUGGCGAAGGCAGUUCUCUGGGCCGUAACUGACGCUGAGAAGCGAAAGCGUGGGGAGCGAACAGGAUUAGAUACCCCGGUAGUCCCUGUCUCUUAUAC
rnacentral:rRNA from 1 species